rnacentral:misc_RNA from 1 species
UUUCCGUAGGUGAACCUGCGGAAGGAUCAUUAUUGUAUAACCGAGGUGCGAGGGCUGUCGCUGACCCGAAAGGUCGUGCACGCCCGAGUGCCCUCACACACAUCCACCUCACCCCUAUUUGCACCACCGCGUGGGUCCCCCUUUGGCUUGUUCGGAGGGGGGCUUACGUUUUCACACAAACUUUGUAUGCAGUGUAGAAUGUAUUUUUUGUUUUUGCGAUCACGCAAUCAAUACAACUUUCAACAACGGAUCUCUUGGCUCUC